UAGUCUUAGAGGAUCAGCCGUUUCCUAUCAUGAAACCCCCCCCUCCCCCCAGCGUUGCUUCUUCUUCCUCUACACACCUUAAGCACACAUCAGACCUUCACCAGAAAAUAACACCCUUAUUCAUCAUCUAGAGACCAAAACAUCCCUUGAGAGCUCACCCCAAAACAAACAAAAAAAGUGAUAGCGGCAGACCCUCUGAAAAAUCCAUCUCCAUCGUUACUCUCUUUCAGAAGAGAGAACCAGCAGCACCCCCAAAAAAUGAAAAAAAGAAAACGCAUCAGACACACUCAUAAAGAUGGAAACACACCCCUACAGAGAUGCAUAAAGAGGAAAGAUUAGAGGAAAGAACCUUUCAAACUUUUUGCUGUUUUAGGUUUCAUUCUAAAAAGAUGAAAAGCCAAAAAAUAGAUUUUCACCUUCUGUUUUAAGCUUUGUUAGCUUCAGAUUCAACCAAAGAAAAAAGGAAUUCAAAAAAAUCCAUAGAUCCCUUUGAUUAGAGUUUAUUUCAAGAGGAAGUAAAUCAAAAACAAAACCGGAGGUGCAAUGAGGUGCUCGUGUUUGGCCAAGCGGUUCCGAUCCCGUUCGUAGUCUGAUCCGACGCUAAAUGGACCUGUGUAUUGAAUCGAAGAAGCAAGAUUGAAUUUGAGGCCACAAUUGAAACCCGUCUCUGCCGAGUUCAACGAAGAAGCUAAAUUUCGUUUGAAAUCUGAAAAUUAGGGCUUCGAAUUCGAUUGGAUGUUCAUGAUUCUAGUUGGAAACAUCAUUUUGAAGCUGAAUCUGAAGGAUUAGGAUCGAUUUGAGUGAUUUUCUAGGGUUUUGAGUUGAAAUUUUUUGAACGGUUUCUCGACGAAGAAGACGAAUUGGGUUCCUUCGAUUCUGUAGGUUAUUGUUCAAAUUGGUUUUGUUCGGAUUGUUGAGACGAGCUUGUGGUUACAUUUUGAGUUCAAGUUGAAGAGGUUUGGGUUGACUUUGGGUUGGCAGCUUGAAGUUGAAAUACGACGAACACUUGUUGAACAUUUCUGAGCUUCAGUUGCUGAAGAUAGCUUCGAAUUGUUUCUGUAGCCUGAUUCAUUGAACGAGAAUUCAUUACUAUUGAAGCCUGAAUCAGUUGAUGAACCCGAAAAACACCAGCUGCAAAUUUGAAGAACUUUGUGGACUGGUUAGAACGAUCCAAGCAGCUGGUAAAUCGAAGAGGAACACCUGUAGAGCUGAUUCGAGUUGAUUUUAGGUUGAAAUUUUUUUGGAGUCCAUUCUCUCAACAAGACGAAGAAUUGCCGCCAAUGAUUUGCGACUGAAAAUUCCAGAUGUGUUCUCAACUUUUUGGAGUCGUUUGCUAUUGAUUUAUUGCUACAAACUUCAAUUCAUCCAUAUGGCUGAAGAUGGAGGGUCUAACACUUCCGAUA